UAUUUUUGUGGCAUACAUAUAUUAACUCAAACUAGUAACAUUCCCCAAAGGAAAAUAAAAUUAGACUAAUGUCCAAAAUUUUACGGAAUUAUGAUUUUAUUCGUGACUAAUUAGUUUUAAUCAUGAGAUACAUACAAUAUAAAAUUUCUAUAAAAGUUCUAUAAAACUCGACUCGAUUAUAAGCACCCCAAAUUAGGCGGCCGACUAACCAAAAACAAAAACUGAAGAGGCUCUUCCCAUAUACUCCGUACGUACUACUCCAUGUCAACAUUCAGAUAAAUGAGGCUCUUCUCCCUCCAAGAAAAAAAAUCGCAGAAGUUGAUCGUCCAUGGCGUCUAAGUCACCGUCGCAAUUCAUCCACCAUUUCGCCGCCACGACACCUCUUCCCAGGUGUUGCUCAAGUGGUGGAAGAUGAGGCAGAUGUUGAUGUUGUACUGUUGAGGGUUUAACAAUGACCCUAUUUUGUGAAAAAAGUAUUGAUUUGUUUAUAAAUGAGAAACCCAGGUCUAAGGAUUGAAAGAAAUACCUGUCUUUUGGGGAAGAAUAGAAAAAAUACAAGGGUAGAUUAUACAGUCGAUGUCCAACCCGAGCUGAUAUGGAGACUGAUCCUGUUUUGAAGAGGAAACUCAGCUCUUUGGGUAGAAAAGUUAAUAAGGUAACCACUUUUUAUUACUUUCUCAGCUGAUUCGGGUUAUUAUUCUAUUUGUUUACAAAUAUAUAAGUGUCUUUAAAGGUUAUUAAAACAAAUAAAUAGUACUACAUUGGUAUUUUGAACUGUGUACAGAGUAGGUUGUUGAUAUUGCAAGUGACUGAUAGUUUCCAAAUUGUUUUUUAAGUAAGUUUAAGUAGUAAAUUCUAUUGAGGCUGAAUUUUUCAACCUGUGGCCUAAACUCGGAUAUGGAAAAGAGGGGAAUGAAAUUGAAGUUCUCGUGUUGGUCUGGCUAUAGAUAAUCAUUGUAAUCAUGAAUUUUACUGAUACAAAAGUUGUUUAGCUUCUUUGGAUAAAUCAAUCCCAUUACAUGUAAACCAAAUGAGUAGGACAUAUUGACUUGAUGUUAAUAUUAGCUGAUAUUUUAUCUUUGCAUAGAAUUUUUCUAUAAAUUUUAAUGUCAUCGAGAAUGAGCAUUGCAAAUUGAUGAUGAACUCAAAAGGUAUACUUAUCUUUUGAACGAGAUAAAAGAUAGUCCUACAGAUAAUAAUGCAGUUGUUGCUAAGCGGCAUUGAGACUUCAAUGGAGAGUUCUUUCACCACCCCGCAUACCUUCAACAGACUUAUGACAGCUUGGAGGAUUGUGAUGUUAAUGAAACGAUAAUUCAUUUUUAAUAGCGGUCAGUAUGUGCUUGAGGUGGAAUGUGUUGGUUUCACACUUUUGAUAACAUUGUGGAUGCUUGAUUCCAGGUUGCCAGAUUGGUUUUUCUAUGGAGAUGAUGAAACUUGGCUAAUAGAAAUGAUAUGCUUAUGAGUUAUGACCCCAAUUACUUGAUAUAUUCAAUAAAUUAUGAACAAUUUUAUGAAUAAAAUCCUUCCUUCUUUGAAACUUUUCUUUUGCACCUUAGAUAUAAUCAGAUAAGUCAUAAAAGUGGCAUUAAUAAGUAGGAGUUCUUAAUAGUUCUUUGCUAGUAGGUUGUCAGCAUUAAAUAUCUGUAAAUCGAAACAAACCCACAAAUAAACACCCCUAUAAGGUUUUUUUGUCCUGUAGAAAUUUUGUUCUAAAGAUAUUGAUGAAUCCCUAGCUUUUGACUUAUUACUCUACUUGCUUUUAACUUCUGAUCGAUGUUGCUUCUUAAUUCUUACCAGUCCUUGAGUUUAAGAAUGAUUAGUAGGAGAUAAAUUUGACUUGAAUCAAAGAUUAUGGUGCUGGAUACAAGGGACUAAUAGGGUAAUGUGUAACUAUGCCAGGAAUCAAGCUAACAUGACCCUGUGUGUGAACAUCAUUGUGAACAAAGAUCAUAGUUUAUUGAUUUUAAUGAGAAUAUUUUUAUCUUUAAUCCUUUUUCAUAAUUGUUACAAUGGCUAAGUAAAUAAUGAAGAGAAUGUUCAGGUUUGUUGUGCUCGCACUAGCUCAAGUUUACUUGUUUUAGAAGUGUAUAGAUUUUGGUUAAUAUCUUAAGGUUGUUUUAAGAUAUACUUCCUAUGAUAGAUCUCUUAAAAAUAGGACAAACUUUUUAAUUGGUGUCGUAAUCUCAAGGCCUGAGUGGAUCUUUUGAUCGUAUUUAUUUGCACACAACUAUUCUGGAUCGACUGAUUUAAAAUCACUCACGGUUGUGCUUGUACUUCCACAAACAACUAUCUUUGGGUCUACAGUUUUAUGACAUUUUAUGCAUGAUAUUGAUGCUUGUUUUAAACACUUUCCCAUGCCUUAGAGCCCUGCUUCACAUGCACACAAGUACCCCACUGCAAUGAUAAACCUGGCUUGUAUGCAUGUUUGGUACAGGGAGGGAGGGUGGGCAGGUGUAGGGGAGGGGAGGGGGGCAGGUGCAGGGAGGGGCUUCCGGGUGUAGUGCAAGGAGGGGUACAAUGCAGAGAGGGGAGGAAUGCAGGAAGGGGGCAGUGCAGGAAGGCAGACAGUGUAGGGAGGGGAUGUAGUGCUGGGAGGGGGUAGUACAGGGAGUGUAGGGUUCUUCACUCAGGUAUGUCUGUUUUUUUUUAUUGACGAGAAAAUAUUGUAUGUUAAUUUGAUUUGAAAGUUUUAAUAAUAUGUGAGAUUAACAUAAAUUGCAUAUGUAUUGUGUCAAUUUGACAUUUUCGUUUUAGAAACUUAUUGACUUGAUUUUUUUUUAAUUCAUUGUAGGUAAAAAGGCGCGGAGCACAAAUGUAUUGUGACAUUCUUUUAUCCUUAUUUAGCAAAAGGAUUUGAGUUUUUUUUUAAGUUUUUUAAGUGAGCCAGUGAUGAGACAAUUAGACAAGUAAUUUCUAGUACAUUUGUAUGUUCAGAUACAAAUUUCUAGUAUAUUUGUAUGUAUGGAGUAUCAGACAUCAAUUUGAUAUUUUUUUUUUUGUGUUA